AUUGAACGCUGGCGGCAGGCCUAACACAUGCAAGUCGAACGAGUGGCGGACGGGUGUGUAAUGUCUGGGAAACUGCCUGAUGGAGGGGGAUAACUACUGGACACGGUAGCUAAUACCGCAUACCAUCAUAUGUGCCCAGAUGGGAUUUGCUAGUUGGUGGGGUAACGGCUCACCAAGGCGACGAUCCCUAGCUGGUCUGAGUUGAUGACCUGCCACACGGGAACUUAGACCCGUCCCAGACUCCUACGGGAGGCAGCAGUGGGGAAUAUUGCACAAUGGUCGCAAGCCUGAUGCAGCCAUGCCGCGGGUAUGAAGAAGGCCUUCGGGUUGUAAAGUACUUUCAUCGGGGAGGCGUUACCCGCAGAAGAAGCACCGGCUAACUCCGUGCCAGCAGCCGCGGUAAUUC
rnacentral:rRNA from 1 species